rfam:Brassica rapa chromosome A6, whole genome shotgun sequence.
AGAAUGAUAUUGAGCCAAAGAUGACUUGCCGACCAAUGAAUCUAAAACUGAUUUUGGCAACCGGCAAGUUGACUUUGGCUCUGUUUCCUUCUCU